UAGUCCACGCCGUAAACGAUGUCAACUAGCCGUCGGGCUCAUUUAAGGGUUUGGUGGCGCAGCUAACGCGAUAAGUUGACCGCCUGGGGAGUACGCCGGCAACGGUAAAACUCAAAGGAAUAGACGGGGACCCACACAAGCGGUGGAACAUGGGGUUUAAUUCGUCAAUAAGCGGAUAACCUUACCCAGACUUGACAUCCUAAUCGUAGAUUAUAGAGAUAUUUUCGUCAGUUCGGCUGGAUUAGUGACAGGCGUUGCAUGGUUGUCGUCAGCUCGUGCCCUGAGGUGUUCGGUUAAGUCCGUUAACGAGCGCAACCCUCGUCGUAUGUUGUAUUUUCAUGCGAGACUGCCUGGUAUAACCAGGAGGAAGGUGAGGAUGACGCCAAAUCAGCAUGACCCUUAUGUCUGGGGGCCACACCCGUGUUACAAUGGGGACGUACAAACUGAAGCGACCUCGCGAGAGUAAG
rnacentral:rRNA from 1 species